GUGAAAACCCUAAAACUAGUUCGAGUGUUCGCAUAUAUCGUCAUCAUCAGAUUGCAUACACCUGAACACAAAUUAAGAGCUAAAGCAAGUGAAUUUGGUGAAGUUGCAUUUGCUCAUGGUAGCACUAGGAAGCUUUCUCAUGCUUGUAAAUCUCAAGUUCUCUAUGGUGUUGACAAGUUAGGGGACUCUAUAAAUCAGAAGUACUAGCUUACAGGUGGCUUUUUGUUACUGAACGGGAUAUUAAGGGCCUACCUUAAUUACAGUGAGUUGGUUGAUGCGAUGACAACAAGCAGUAAGUGCAGAGAACUAUGAAGUGGGAAAUAUGAUUGCUUAGAAAGGGUUAACACGACGAUUAUUUUACUUGCAAACAAGAUUGUGUAAGAGAUUCACGAAUGUAUUGAAGUUUUGAGUUUCUAUUCAAACAUUUAUUGACUAUUUGUUUUGUAUGUUUGGUAUUUAGACAUAGGUUGACGCUUAUUAGACUUUUGUUUGCAAACAUUGGAAUCUUUGGAAGAUGAUUGAUUGAACUUUUUAAUUGAAGUGAUUAUAUUAUGAUU
rnacentral:lncRNA from 1 species